rnacentral:rRNA from 1 species
UACGGAGGGCGCAAGCGUUGUUCGGAAUUACUGGCCGUAAAGCGCGUGUAGGUGGCCUGGCAAGUCGGGUGUGAAAUCCCGGAGCUCAACUCCGGAACUGCAUCCGAUACUGCCAAGCUCGAGUCUCGGAGAGGAUGGCGGAAUUUCCGGUGUAGAGGUGAAAUUCGUAGAUAUCGGAAGGAACACCAGUGGCGAAGGCGGCCGUCUGGACGAUGACUGACACUGAGACGCGAAAGCGUGGGGAGCAAACAGG